CAUUCUCUCCUCCCAACUUCUUAAACUAAAUGCGAAAGUGUUCGUGAUCUUUACGAUAGAUAUGCAUAACGGCACGUUAUAAACGUACUAGUGCCACACUGUUGGUGCGUUAAUGUGUUGACUUAAUUUCCUUCAAUAGAAAACUGUUGAAAGAAAACAAAAGAUAUGGCUUCUGGUGCAGCUUCUACCACUGUCGAUGUGCACAGGUUGGAAUGAAGGUAGGCAGGUACUCCUCCUAGUGGCUGUUAUCUGUAUAGCUUCGGGAAUAACUCAAAUACUAAUUAUUGUUGCUGUUUCAUUGCUGCUUUUUCAUUGCAAAUGGCACAAUGACUUAGAAAUUAAGUGUUAUGCAUACGUGAGGAACGAAUACAGAAUGUCUUGGUUUGUUCCCCUUCACAAUACAAAACAAAGCCACAAAAUGUAAAGUCAAUGCACAUCCAUGAAUGUUCUCUCUUCAUAUGUAUGUAUCUGUCAGUAUGCAAUAGAUACACACUGUGGGAGAAAGAUUACAUGGUAAUAGGGUAGCAGAAAUUAUGGGGUCGACGUUUUGGUCAAUGACCGAGAUGGAGGGGACUCCAUCAAGUUAUGAAGAGAACCCCCCCCUCAAGCCAUGAAGGUAGCGGGUAUCGACGCCUGCAUCUACCUGUCCUACUGCCAGCCUGGCCCAGCCUCGGUAGGACUUCUGCAACCCAUCUAAAAUGAAUUAUAAACGAUGGGGUUUGCUUUUUCUUCUCUCUCGCGUGAGUGUAUUUUUUAUCCUCUUUGUUAAUACUGAGAGGCAGUAUAUUAAUGCUGAGAUGUUCCCCUGAUGGCCAGUUCACAUCACUUAAUACCCACAGGAAGAGGGAGGUCGGACCCAGCCAUGCAAAUGCCGUAGACCUCCUGGCCAGAGCGGUGACCACCAAACUGGAUGUUUCUGAUUGAUUUUGUAAUCCUGCUCAGUUAUUAUAGCCUCACAAGCCAAGGAAGUCAUGUUGGCAGAUGAAUCCCCUCAUCCACUCUCACUCCCAGUGGAAAAACCCCUCGUCCCGGAGUGGAUGAAGCCCCCUGAUCUCCAGGUCGCCAUCGAUGAGAUCAAUGGUGUGACGGCGGACCAGCGAUCCCCCUCCUCUUGCUAUGCAAGACUGCGUCAUGCCUGGUGUGCCAACUCACCUACAGAAGCCAAACGAAAACGACGAAAGGCCAACAGUAGUUCAUCGUCAUCGUGACUGUGUUUGCAAUCCAAGAUUGGCUUUAUUACACCCAUCUGCGAAUGAGCCGUGAGCGAGAGGGGCAGGCUUCUAUUGACAGAUCAAGGUUCUGUGUAUAUUACAGCAGACA